GACCAAGGGGCCGGGAUGCUCUGGUGGUAGUUUCGCCGGAGUGACCUAGGAGUACAGGGAGUGCUUCCAUCGGGGCCGGGUCAGGCAAA
rnacentral:ncRNA from 1 species